AACUCAUCUGCUUAAUUGCAGUGCGAAACAGUAUAUAUUUUGCUUCGCGUCUCCAGUGUUUCAUCGAGCCAUUCUGACAUCUUCAGACGAGAUCUGCCGCAGUACGCCAGGAACUUACCUAAGACGGAGAGAACCAUGAAUUCCGCAGUGCUGGUUGCCUUGGCGAUAGCCGCCCUGGUGGUCAUGUCCGCCCAAGCCGCUCCCACGGAUCUGCUGGAUGACAUCGAAUCGGAGGUCCAGGAGCUUCGGGACGUGCUGCAGAAGCGCCAAGAAUGUAAGGACUCGCCUUUGAUGUCAUGUGAGAGAAACCGACACAGGUGCCAAUCAAGCUUCAACAUCAGAAUGAAUUGCCCAAAGACGUGUGGCCGUUGUCCCGGGAUGGGACGGUGAAUGGGAGAGGCGGCAAGGUAUGUGAGCCAGUCAGCACGCCCAGCCGCGCACACCAUUGCUGAGCACCCCAGUCGCCGCCGCUAGCAGACACGUCAUAAACACAACCCAGCUCCGUCUGAUGUAGGGUCAACAUAUAACAUGUAACAGUUGUGAGGACUUCUUUCUGCAUAGUUUUGGUCAUACCUGUAUGUGCAUGAGGGGAGUCCUAUAUCCCCAGGUUCCGUAACGCACCGUACCAGCUUUAUUUUCCAUGUUACAAACGUUGUUUAUUUACUGUGAAUGCUGUAGUCACGCUGGGUGUCGAACUCGCAAUGUUGAAACAAUAAAAGUCAUCCUUGGAUGAAUUAA